ensembl:lncRNA
GUGGAUCUCUCCUGAGCCUAUGAAGUUGUGCUGAGAAACCGUGACAAAACCAGAACAAAGUAAGAAGAGUGUUUGAGGGUUUCAGAGAUCCUACAGAACAACAAGGGGAAAAACAUCACAGCUGGAUCUGGACAGAACGUCACUCUGACAUGUCGAGCUCCAAACAACAACAUCAUAGGUGUAAAGUGGAGCAGCACUGACCUGGAGCCAGAAUAUGUGCUUUUUUACAGAAAUGGGCAGUUUGAUCUAGAAAACCAGCAUCCAUCUUUUAAGAACCGGGUGGAUCUGCAGGACAGACAGAUGAAGGAUGGAGACGUGUCUCUGAUUCUGAAGGAUGUGACGAUUAAUGACACUGGAAGAUAUGAGUGUCGUGUCUUCUCAAAAGGGAGGAACACUGACCCCAUCAGCAUCAUCUACCUGAAAGUUUUUCCUCCAGGUCAGUCAGGAGGACACACAGAGGAUGGAUCUGUUGGACUGAUUGUUGGUCUGUCAGUUUCUGCUGUGCUUCUUGUUGUUGUUGUUGCUGCUGUUGUUGGUGGUGUUUUGAUCUAUAGAAAACAUAAACGGCAACAACAGAGUCAAGAUUCAUAUAAGCCUCCUGUUGAACAGCAGGAUGUUUGAAAUGUCUCAGAGAGGGAAAGGAAAAGCAGGAGAAAGUCUGACUGAAAAAACUAAAACAAUACCACCAGAGUUGAAAAACCAGAAGAGCUGCAUGUUUCCAAAGAGAUUUCACAGGAUGGAUGAUGGUCUGAUAAAUCAGCUGUAAAUACUCACUGUGCCUCAAAGAAGAAAAAAUAGACAUAAAACAAAGAAGAACACAAGUUCAAUAUAUCUUUAUGAGAUUUAAAUACACACACACACACACACACACACGUAUUGUUACAUAUUUAUGUAUUAUAUUAUAUUUACUUUCAACACUGAACAUUUAUGGCUUAUUAUGUAUUGGACAUUUCUAAAUAACAAUAUUUAUUAUUAGUAGUAUUAUUCAGUUUUUAUAAUAGUUAUAUCUUAAACAUUUCUUCCACACACAGGUUCAAUAUUUGAUUGUAGCUUUUGUCUGAGUCAUUUACAUCUUGUUUGUAUGUGGACCAGUUGGUCCUGUGUUCAAUCAAAGAAAAGUGAGCAAAUUUGAAAGUAAGUAGAAUGAGAAAACAUUUGUUUUCAUAGCACAAGGUAAACAGUUUGAGUGAACGCUCUGAAUCAAGGCUUCUCUUCCACUGAUGUCAACAAAUAACCUUAUGCUUUGUUUCCUCAAAGUAUUCAUGAAUUCAGGGACCUGUCUGUUUCAGAAACAGUGUGUUUUAUUUUCAGGUUCAGCUGUUUGUGAGAAUAAAGUUGUUCUGUUAAGUUUGAACCACACUGACUGAUCUUCAUGACUGAAAGGACAAACAUGUGAUAAAGAACAGAUGGAUUAUUGUAAAUUAUAGAUCAUAAAUCAUCUAUUCCAAAGUGUACCAGAUAGCUUCAAUUGAACAACUGAAUGUUCUAAUAGCAAAAUUAAACCAAACCCAGACAUAACCUCUGUAUAAAAGUCACAUGUUCCUCCCUCUGAUCUGUGAAGGUUUUUUUGUUGGUUUUCUGGUUGUUACUUCAAUUUAAAUGUUUCUAAGGCUGAUCACAUUUUGUGUCUAUUUAAUGUGAUUUUGUUGCUAAUAAAAUUUUACAGUACUGUGAAAGGAACUUUGUCUUAACUGACUAUGUGUUUUCUGUGGAAGUAAAACUUGUUUUUAUUUAAAGGUUUCUGAUGUGUAAAACACUGUCUUCAUCAGACAGAGAAAUGGAAAUGGACUUAGAAUAUGUUCCUGUAACAACAAACUACAAAACGGAAAGUUUUGUAGUUUGUAGAAAGUUGUUUUAAAUAUACUGCAAAUAAUUUUAUUGGUGUCACUGAGUCUGAGGCUGUGUUGGUUUUAGAUACAGAAUGUACUAUAUUUAGAUGAAAAAGUGAAGUGCUAAUUCAACAGCUUUCAGGCCUUUUUACACCAGAUGCAUAAACUAUAUUUUUCAGACUUGCCUUUUCUUAAUGCAGCUAUUCACACGGCCACGUAAUUUUACUUAACCAAUUUGCAGCAUUUACUUUUUUGAAACAAGCUUGAUUUACUUGAUGUUUAGUAGUAAGUAAGUAAGUAAGAGAGAUUCCAUAUCUCAUAAGUUGAUCUGCACAAACCGAUUUGAUUAAUCAGAUGUAUGCAUGUGGCAACAUAUGUACUAA